rnacentral:rRNA from 1 species
UACAUGGGGUGCAAACGUUGCUCGGAAUUAUUGGGCGUAAAGCGCGUGUAGGCGGCCCUGCAAGUCGGAUGUGAAAUCCCACGGCUCAACCGUGGAAGUGCAUUCGAAACUGCAGGGCUAGAGUCCUGGAGAGGAAGGUGGAAUGCUUGGUGUAGAGGUGAAAUUCGUAGAUAUCAAGCGGAACACCGGUGGCGAAGGCGGCCUUCUGGACAGUGACUGACGCUGAGACGCGAAAGCGUGGGGAGCAAACAGG